rnacentral:rRNA from 1 species
UACAGAGGUCUCAAGCGUUGUUCGGAUUCAUUGGGCGUAAAGGGUGCGUAGGUGGCGCCGUAAGUCGGGUGUGAAAUUUCGGAGCUUAACUCCGAAACUGCAUUCGAUACUGCGGUGCUUGAGGACUGGAGAGGAGACUGGAAUUUACGGUGUAGCGGUGAAAUGCGUAGAUAUCGUAAGGAAGACCAGUGGCGAAGGCGGGUCUCUGGACAGUUCCUGACGCUGAGACGCGAAAGCGUGGGGAGCAAACAGG